CAAUACUUUCAAAUGCUGAUUUCAACACCAUCUGGUCCACUGUUAGAUCAGCAGUUGUGGAUCUUGACUCUUUCCUUAACAAUGGAAAUCAUUUUGAAAAAGAGGUGGAUUUUUUGAGACAUGAGAAAAUGGACUCUGUUAAUGACCAUCACUACCUUGAAGAACUGAGAAACCAGGCUGAAGAAAAUAUAGCAACAGGAGAAAUAGUGGACGGAAUUAAACGUAAACUAGAAGAGAGAGAUACAGAUCGAAUUGAGAGUCAAAACAAAAUGCUGAAAAUUAUUGAUAAUAUAUCAACUGCAGCUGUUCCCCCAAAUGUGAAAGAUAUGUGGAUCUGGUUGAAAUAAAUGUAAAUCAAAC